UUCUUCAGACCCGGAACAUUUCUUUUCUGGUCCUCUGUGUUUGAUGUUCUGUUGGCUUCACGUACUUGUUGGAUAACUUUCUCUGUAGAUUUGGGAGACAUUCUAGUGUGAUUGAAUUUAAAAUGUUAUUCAUUCCUUUGUCCUGGAGUUCUUCCCUUUCUUCUCUGUCCAUAAUUUGCAGGCUUUUCCUUUUAAUGCUCUCCUAAAAUUCCUGCAUAUUCCUUUCUAUGAGUUUUUAAAUAGGAAUUCUCUGUGCUUUACCUAAAAGCACUUCUGUGAUUUCUGCCAGGCAAAUUAGGAAAAUGGCAAGACAGCCCUCUAGUGGUGACUGACGGACGCUGCAGGAAGAAUUCAGGCCCUGGUUAGUCAACAAUGGGGCUUCCUGUGACACUUCCUGAGACAUCCAUUUCCUGGUAAAACCUGGGCCGGAGUGGGCGGGGCCAGAGCAGAGACAGAGACACGCCAUCUUCUAGCCCGACUAUCGGAACACCAGGGUCAUGAAAACUCUGCACGGACCUAGGGAGCACUCCACUUGGGUGCAGCGUGGUGCUGAACAGGCAGAGGGUGAGCCCUGACCGGUUUCAGUUGGAUCGAACGUUCACCCCAGCCACUGGAACCACCCGGAGCGGGUGUGUUGACAUUCAGUGAUGUGACUGUGGACUUCUCACAGGAGGAGAGGGAGUGCCUAGAUCCUGCUCAGAGGGCUUUGUAAAGAGAGACCUGAAGGUGGUGGAGAAUUACAGCUCUCUCAUUUCUGUUGUGCACAACCUAUAUGUACCUCAGAAUAUGAAUUGAGCAUGUAAAUUUGGUACAUUUACACAUGGAGUUCUACGCAGUGGUAAAGGACAAGGAAAUAAGGAAUUUUCAGAAUGUAGGAGGAAUUCUUAAUCUUGUUGGCAGAGUGGGCCACUGGAAGGCAGGAAAGCAGAAACUUCUCUCACGGUCUCCAUGUUGAGCUUUUUCUUCCUGUGCAUCUACUGUAACUGCAGACAGUGAGAACGGCCUGUUUUGUUUUCUGAGAUGCUUCUUCCUCUUGCUAUGUUGGCAAGUGAAGUGGAUUUUCAGUGAACUGAAAGGAAGUUUCUCGAAACAAAGGGAAGACAGUUUAUGUAAGAUUGCCUGGAAAGGAAACUCACAGAAGAAGGAGAGAGAUGGCUUCUUUUCAGGUGAGUUAAUCCAAGGUCAUGGACCAUGUAUACUUUCCUUCUCUAAAUGUUUGUUCUUUUGAACUUGUAAGCUUUUCUGAUCCAGAAACUAGCUAUGAAGACCAUGCUAGCCUGGAUCUCCCAGAGAUCCUCAUGCCUCUUCCUCUGGAGUCC